GCCGUUGUGGGCCACGGAGGCUGCCCCACAUCAAUUAUUGAAUGCGGUGGUUGAAUGGGGAGGUGGAGGUUCGAUUCCUCCUGACGGCA